UUUAGUCUAGUUUAAAAUAAAACAAAUGUUUGUCAAGCAUUAAAUGCCCAGGCGAUUUGGC
rnacentral:tRNA from 1 species